ensembl:lncRNA
AAUUAUUAGGUAUUGUACACAUGAUUGCGCUUCAUAGUGGUGCUAUUAAAAAAGCGCCAUGAAAUGAUUACUGUCACAAUUUAUUCACAAAUUAUUCUAUCUUGUGUUAAUGCCAAUCCAAAGACAAUCCAAUGAAUGCUGCUGUGAAACAAAAGAUUCAGAACACAUCACUGACUUCCAUCCCUAGACUUUACCUAGAUGAGAACUGGGUAGUACUCAUAAUAUAACAAAUAUGAAUAUUAAAGACAACAAUGUUUGGAAAUGCAAGUUAACUCGUAUGUUCUCUCAACAUGUUCUUCAAAACCCAUAAAACAGGCUCACACACAUGAUUACCAUGUUUAAACAUUUUGUGAUAGGAUUGGACAUUUUGGUUAGCUUCAAAUAUUUUGCAAAUGGUUCACUAAUGCAGAAAGCAUGUUAACCCCACCAGCACAGCUAAAAUAUUUUUAGUUAGGUAACUGUGUCUUUUAAAGUGCAGAGAACAAAUGACAAGUAAAGUACAGUGUUAUACCAACUACUGUUCAAUUAAGAUGAGAGAAAAACUCACCUAACUAAAACCUAAAACUACCUGCCAGUUUUGAUGUCUGACUGAAUUUUAGGCAGGUAAACUGACCUUGAGAUCAUGGACCUUUGACGACAUUUUUUGGUUUGCAUCCUCCAGCUCCAAAAGGAUCUUCUGGAAUACCUCAAAGGUAUAUUUCAGUUGUUUGGGGUAAGACCCAUCAGGUAAGCACAAGCAGUUGCAACAUCAGAAAUACCAAACAGAACCUCUGCUCCCUCGAUGGCUAUUCCUGUUGACUUGGCAAGACUUUCAUCCGUGGCUUUGGAAACCACAAAGAUGUUGAGGACAAAUGUAGAAAUGUCCUCUUGGACAGCUGCAGCAUAAUCCUCGUCAAAAAUCUGGGAAAUAUAUAAAUGACGGAAUAAGACAGGGUAUCGGAAGUAUGAGGAAAUUGAAGCAAACAAUUUUUAAGACCUACACAACAGCACAUAAAGUUAGGUUAAAUAAAUACAUUUUAAAUAUGUGCUAAAUUUGCAUAUCUUCAAGUGUAACAUAGUAGUACUGAGAACUCUGUGCUUCAUUAAUUCCAUCUGUAAUAUUGGACUGGUCUACAUACUUAUGUAUAAUUUCUGCCCGGAAGUCAAUUGAAGAAUGUGCUGCAUGUUGUCUGGAUCUGUAUGAUGUGUCACACCUGUAUGUCAAGUUGGGUUUUUGUCCUGUCUCCAUGUUUGUUUAGUGACUUCCUGUUUUAUUUUGGAAAUUAACUCUCCUCUCGUUUCAGGUUCCUUGCCCUUCCUCAUGUGUCACCUUUCUGAUUGUCUUCCCUGAUUCCUGAUUGUGUUCACCUGUUCCCACACUUCCCUCAUGUGUACUUAUAGCCUGCGUCUCCCCUUGUCCUGUGGCAGUGUGUCGUGUCCUUUCGCCUCGCACACCCGCCUCAGGAAAGAAUCAAGCCCGGGUCACAGUUUUGUUUGUACCUAGCCACCUUGUGGUGUCCUUAGUUGUGCAGUUUAUGGCUCCACAGCUCCUUGAUUUAGUUUAGAGACAUUUUGAUUGUUUUGUUAUUUCCUCUGUAAGAGAGAUUUUGAUUUUCUUUUGGUAACUAUUCAGCUCUCUGUUUUGCCAGAGCAUUUCCCCGUUCAUCUCUCUUCGGAGAGGUUUUUUCUUCCCAGGGACUCAGUGUUUUUUGUUGGAUAAUAAAAGCGUCAGUUGAACCUCAACUCUGCGUCCGAGUCCUCCUCGAGCUCCCCCUGUGACAUAAUGCAAACGUUCCAUAAACGUUUGUGUUAAAAUCACACACUCUAAAAACACAGUGCAGAGUUUCUCAGAUGAACUCAAAAGAUGUUUGAAGUAAUCAUCCUCAGUCUAAAAACCAGAACUGCAAAGUUCACAACUGGAAAAAAAAAUAUAUCUUUGGUGUUGAUUUGUUACAUGGAUGUUUCCUUGACAAAUGUGACUUGAGGGCAUUCCAGGUUUUGAAUGAGCACGGGCAAUCAGAAUUUACACAGGGAAGAAAUUUGCAGUGGUUGUGCCUUGGCCUAUAGUGCUUUAAAAGUUUCCUAUCUUGCAAAUCCAUCCCAUGAAGUUUGAAACCCAGGUGCUAGAUCCAAGUACGUCCUGACAGUGAAGGAAAAGCAAAGUGGUCAAUCUCUCUGGGUGAAGUUCGGGUGGGACUCAGCAGGAGAUUAGUCAUUAACACGUGAUUAUGGUCAGCAGCUAGGAUUCCAUCAAGAACCCUUCAUCUCUCCAUUGCGUGCCCAUCAAUCUGUCCUCAAAAGUACAAUGACAGGACAAGGCAGGACGUUACCCUGGGACACAAGAGGCAGAAAACUACAAAAUAAGAAAGGAAACCCAAACCGUGACAGAAACAUUACAUUACAUAUCAUUUAGCGGACGCUUUUAUCCAAAAACUCCAUUGGGAAACCUUGCGAAAGCCCUUCUUUUUUCACAAGAUUCUACUAAUGUUACCUCUAACGGUAUUUUAAGGCCAUUGCUAAAAUGAUCUCGAGGAAGCACUGGUUUAUUUUUAAUUCCACUUCUACGAAGAUAAGACAUCUACAAAGACUAGAGUAUCCAACUAACUAACGGACUGAACUUUAAGGUUAGAAUACAGCUAACUGAAGCAAAUUAAAGUGAAUUUUCUUCCGUAUUCUUACCUUUUUAAAGUUCAGCCCGAUUAAUGUUUAAUCGAUUUUAAUGUCGAGGGUGACGUUCUGUUGACUUCUGACUGCAGAUGUGAAAUGGCGGAAUUGGCGGUGAAAUGAAUUAUCGCUUUUAUGAGUGUAUGCUAAAAUUAAGAACAAAAGGAUCUAGAAAAUAUACACUAGGCUGAAAAACAAAGGCGAAAAAGUCUGAAAUGUCCUCCGCAAAUGUCCAUCAGCUCGUGUCAAGACUGCAGUAAUUCUAAUACGGAACAGCUGUGCAGACAGAGACAAAACUAAUGAAACGGAAUCAGUGAUUAUGGAAAAGUAAAAAUAUAUAUGAACAAGCUGUUUUUUUAUAAAAUGGAUUAGACUUUUGUCAACAUUUUAAAGUUUAAAUGGUGUCUGUAGCUGAAAAAUUGGCGAAGCAGAAAAAUGUGAAAGUUGAAGUUCAAGGGGAUUUGAAAAUAAACUCCAUUGGGAAACCAUGUUAAAAUUGGUUAUGAAUUUGAUUUGACAAGAAGAUGUUGACAUAAAGAGUCGAAGAAGAACUACUUUCUGAGGCAGCAUUCCAACAAUAAGCCUGAGAGAUAAGGAGUUUUGCUCAGCUUUGCUGGCCACACUCAAUAACUUUAUUAAGCUUCAAAAAACAUACACUCAAACAAAGAUACCAGUGACAAAAGGAAACCUUUUCUCUCAAAAGGACCUCAGUGUGUUGGAAUGCUAAAAGAUGAAAUUAAUUUGAAAAGAAUUGCUAAAAAUGCAGUAAUGAGAAAUGCAUUUUAGCUUUGAAAAUGGCUGAGGCAGCAUUCCAACAAUAAGCCCAAGAAAGAACAAGGAGUUUGGCUCUGCUUUGCAGGCCAUACUCAAUAAAAGUGAUCCAACAUUGUUUUUUUUAUUACAAAUACAAUACGGUUCAUUUCAGUUGUUGAAAGUACAUGUCAUCAUUAACAUACAUUCAAAAGUUCAUAGUUAGUUUUAAUAUAAAAUCCAGUUUAGCAAAAAUACAGAAGUUGAAAAAGCCUUUCUUUCCGGUCCAACUAAUAAGUGAGUACAGAUAAUAACGAAGUGGGGAAAAAAACUCUACACUUUUAGACAACAUGUAUAUUGAGAACAACAAUACUUGUAUUUAGCAGCAGUCAGACGUUGAUGUCAGAACACCAGAAUUUUCUUGUGUGAACAUUUUAAAGAUGAAUAACUGUGUACAUGGUGUGGAGGAUGUUUCAUUUGUUGCUGAUCAGAAAUCUGUACUCUGUUCCUCCUACGUGGUUCAAGUAAGUCCAUCAAAUGUCCCAUUAGCCAGUUUAGAUUAACCCGAUGAUUGAAGUCUGGCUAUUUUGGUUCCUCAAAGGCUGAUACGCGCUUAAAGAAUGUUGUUAAUUUGAACCAGACUUGUGAUCAGGAUAAUUGUGCGUUCCCGUCUUACUUCAAAAGGGGAGGAGUUAACAGCAAAAAAACUGAAAGAAAGCCUAUUUUUUUUUUCUCUGCUGACGAGCAGGAGAUGAUCAUGAAGUGAUCUUUGUGAUCUCUCCCUAUAAAACACAAAUCCAGCUGAUUAUCGCCCCUUCAUCAAUUGGAUCUAUGAGGAUGAGAGCUGCCUUCUUUUUCCGGGAGAAUGAAAAACGUAGUUUUCCACCUGUCUUCAAUCAGAUCACCUCAGACUUGCAUAAUAAAAAACUCACUAAGUCUAUACUUGGUAUCGAUUAUCAUUUCUUCUACUGAUCAUACAUCUGCAAUACAGACCGAAACAAACCAGUAGAGCGGUCCGUGCGAGUUCCCGAGGAUCUCCUCUUAGACUCGUAUCACUCGUUGUCUCAGGUUCGGGCCGAUCCUUCACUGCUGCAAAGAGACCCAACAAAUGUUUUUUUAAUGUAAAGAAAAAUAUUUAUUCAUCAGAAUAAAGCUGCUGAAUUUAAACGUGUUUAAGUUUAACUUCGUGUAUCUACCUGUGACAUUCCUUAAAGUUCAUCCCAUAACUUGUCCCCGAGUCAUUGGUCUAGAGUCCGAAGAUGUGAAGUCUGAGUCGUCCGUCUCUGAGGGCGUCUUUGUCCCACUGGACUUGGCCUGUAAAGCGUUUAUCCUGCAACUCUGGGACCUCAACACCUUCAUAUACAUGAGUGAUGGUUUCUCAUCAGCUAACAUCUCACAGGAGAUAUAAAGGGAGUUGGGGGAGUGGUCCGUGCUGGUGGGGAACAUCCAUUCCAGUGAGAUGUUGUGGUUCUCCUCUGCCUGAUAGCAGCUCUGUGUCACAUUCACUACAAAUGACCCUGCUGGAGCCUUUAGACUCCGUCUCCAGAUGUUUCUGAGGAGUGUGCUGACGCUUCACAGCUGCUUUACAAACACAAAAGUGAACCGACCACAGACACGGGAGGUCAAGAUGAUCACCAGGAUGCUUCAGAUCAUCUCCUCCCUGUGAGAGGAGACCGAGGAGAAGAGGCUCAAACAUCUCAUCAUCAUCAUCACAACAACAAUCUACAGUGUGUCUCCACAUCGUGAUGCUCUUUGUGUUCAUCAUCAUGCUUGUUACAAACACACAAAGCUUUGAUGCUAAUGACAACCUCCCUGAAACAUGAGACAACCACUGUUACCUCUUACCGUUUAUGUGGUCUUCGAAACGCACCGCGAGAGUUAUGAAUCAAAAGCGUUCUACAAAUUGACGUGAGUUCUGUUUAGCUUUUCUGGAAUCUACUAGUCAUGAAUCAUAGAAUAAAAGCACUAAACCAUCUCAGAUUGUAACAUUCAACGACCACACAUAAAUCUCAAGUUCCCCAACUUUUGACCGAUCUUCGCUCCCAUACAUGAGGAAAUAUGGGGAAUACUUGGUGGUCAGUUGUUUCUUCGACCAAACACAGUGGACUUAAUAUAUUGGUCCCAGUCACUGGGGUGAUCCUGGACCAUUUUGUUUUUUUUUCAAAACUCUAAAAUAGAGGAAAACCAUUAUUAAAGACAAUAAAAAGUCAGUCUCAAAGUAGAUCAACAGUGGUUAUUGGAAUAUAUCUUCGAUAAAUAAUGUUAUACCCUUGAAUUGUGCCAUUGAGUUUUUCAACCAAGCCAUUGGUUUGCGGGUGGUAUGGAGCACAGAGGCUUCGGUCAAUGCCAAGUUUCUGGCACAACUCUGUAUUCAUCUAUAAAAUGCACAAGAGGACAACUUAUUUUGAAUACCAUGAUGCUUCUUCCAUUGGUAAUGGGACCACGAAUACGGACAUAUUACUUGCGUCAAAAUUAAACUUACUUUGUUCACGAAUUCCUUUCCACGGUCUGUGAGGAUACGCUUUUGGGCGCCAUAUUUAUAAAAGAAAUCCAUUACACACAUGGAGAUUUCUUCCGCUCCUUUAGUUUUCAGUGGGUAUACCUCAAGCCUCUUUGUGAAAUAGUCCACCAUCACAUAAAUGUAUUGACACCCAUUCUUGGUGCAUUUUAGCUUACCAACCAAGUCCAUCCCAAUUCAAAUGGUUGAGUCACCUUUUAAAAAGCAAACCAGAUUUUAACACAAGGAUGCUUCCAUUCAACAUGUUAUAUUUAGUAAGUAUUCACCUCUUUGGGUUUGUAUAGCAUUUUCUCCUUUAUAGAGGUCCUCUUCUUUUGGCAGGCAUCACUCUGGUCAAUCUAAAACCAUUUAGACAAUUGAAAAACACUGAUUUCAAAUGUUUACAUAUUAUCACAAGCUCCCCAGAGAUAAGGAGUGACACCCACCCAUUUCUCGAUGUCUGCCUUCAUGCUAGGCCAGUAGAAUCGUUGCAGAAUUGCAUCCAUGGUCUUGUCGACCCCACAGUGAGCUCCAAUGUCACUGUCAUGAAACUCAAUGAAUAUGGCAUUGGCUUCUUGUGGGGUCAACACACCCUUGGCAAGAUGAUGCCGCUGCUCAUCUCACUUUCUGCGGCACUGAUAAUACAGGUCACCGUCUAUGAAUUAGAUUGCAUAAACAUUUGAAGUGACUGAUUUAAAUAGCCAGUAUAUUAUUUAACUUAGUUUAACAUUUUCAUUUAGCUGAGGCUUUUAUCCAAAGCAACUUACAAUAAGUGCAUUCAACCCAGGGGGUACAGAAGAAGAAGAAUUACAGUACAAGUACAAUUCCUUUAAGAAAGCCAAACUACAAGUUUAACUUUAAGUAGUUGCUAUCGUAAGAUAGCACUUAGUACGUUACUUACUUAUCAGUUGGUAACUCUCUGCACGCCGUUUGAGAACAUAUCGCUCAUUCUUGCUGAAAUGUGCAGGAAAAGAGUUGCUCUGCUUGUAGUCCUUCAAUUCUUUCACCUUUUGUGGAUCCAUCUCUUGUUCGGAAAGACCUCAUGGCGUUUUUAUAGGGACGCUGCUUGUUAACUUUAAUUGGGUGACAGUUAAGAAUCGAUAAAUUUGGAUGUCUUCCAAGACACGCCCACAGUAACCAGUUGUUUCAGAUCCCCUACACCAGAAGGUUUCCUCCAUGCCAAUCACGUUGUAUUAAUAUAUUAAGACCAAACCCAGCGUACUGCCCUGUUACGCAGCGCACAGAGCAAGCGCCGGUACAAUGCGUUAGCCGUAAGAACACAAUAUCCUUUUUUUUUUUUUUUUUAUCCUAAUGUGUCGAUGCAAGGGUGCAGCCUCCAUGAUAAAGUAGCGUUGCACAUGUCCUGAAGUGUUCCAAGACAUGCCCAAGGUAACUAGUUGUUUCAGAUCCACGACACCAAAAGGUUUCCUCCAUGCUGAUCUACGUCAACAAGAUGGAUCAAUUAAACAAAGGGUCAACAAAUUUCUGUGCGUCUCCGUGGUGCACUGCUAAGAGCAGCCAUCAGGUUGAUGUUUUGACCCACCGGGUUUGAAUCCAGGUCGUUCUGAUCUUUCCUUUUAAUAUAUAUUUUUUAAUAUAAAUGUUUUCAU